GAUGAACGCUGGCGGCGUGCCUAAUACAUGCAAGUCGAGCGAACGGACGAGAAGCUUGCUCCUCUGACGUUAGCGGCGGACGGGUGAGUAACACGUGGAUAACCUACCUAUAAGACUGGGAUAACUUCGGGAAACCGGAGCUAAUACCGGAUAAUAUUUUGAACCGCAUGGUUCAAAAGUGAAAGACGGUCUUGCUGUCACUUAUAGAUGGAUCCGCGCUGCAUUAGCUAGUUGGUAAGGUAACGGCUUACCAAGGCAACGAUGCGUAGCCGACCUGAGAGGGUGAUCGGCCACACUGGAACUGAGACACGGUCCAGACUCCUACGGGAGGCAGCAGUAGGGAAUCUUCCGCAAUGGGCGAAAGCCUGACGGAGCAACGCCGCGUGAGUGAUGAAGGUCUUCGGAUCGUAAAACUCUGUUAUUAGGGAAGAACAUAUGUGUAAGUAACUAUGCACGUCUUGACGGUACCUAAUCAGAAAGCCACGGCUAACUACGUG
rnacentral:rRNA from 1 species